GAUUUGGUACCAGGUAAAGCUGGCCGAGCAGGCUGCGCAAUACAGCGUGCUCUGGAACUGAACCCGCAGUAUCGUCCAAGAAAUGGUGUAAUCAAUGAAGAAAGUAGCAGGGAUGGAUGUGGAACUGACAGUUGAAGAAAUAAACCUCCUAUCUAUUGCAUAUAAGAAUGUGAUUGGAGCUAGAAGAGCCUCCUGGAGAAUAAUCAGCAGCAUUGAACAGAAAGAAGAAAAAGAAGAAGACAAGCUAAAAAUUAUUUGGGAAUAUCGGCAAAUGAUUGAGACUGAGCUAAAGUUACUCUGCUGUGACGUUCUGGAUGUACUGGACAAAAACCUCAUUCCAGCAGCUAACACUGGCGAGUCCAAAGUUUUCUGUUAUAAAAUGAAAGGGGACUACCACAGGUAUCUGGCAGAAUUUGCCACAGGAAAUGACAGGAAGGAGGCUGUGGAGAACAGCCUAGCGGCUUAUAAAGCUGAUAGUGAUAUUGCUAUGACAGAACUUACACCCGCGCAUCCUAUUCGCUUAGGUCUUGCUCUCAAUUUUUCUGUAUUCUACUACGAAAUUCUUAAUUCCCCUGACUAUGCCUGCAGGUUGGCAAAAGCAGCUUUUGAUGACACAAUUGCAGAACUGGAUAUGCUGAGUGAAGAAAGCUAUAAAGACACUGUGGACUUCAGGCAUGCAGGGUGAUGAUGAAGAACAGAAUAAAGAAGCGCUGCAGGACGUGGAAGAUGAAAAUCAGUGAGACAUAAAAACCAACAAGAGAAACCAUCCCUGACCACCCAACUCUUCCCCAUCCCGUCCCUUGGAAACUCCCCAUUGUCCCUAAGAACCGCCAAAUCUGACUUUUACAUUUGGCCUCAGAAUUUAGGUUCCUGCCCUGCUUUUUUGUUUGUUUUUGUUUUUUUUAACAGUUUUCAAAAAUUCUUAAAGGCAAGAGUGAAUUUCUGUGGAUUUUACUGGUCCCAGCUUUUAGGUUCUUUAAGACAC